rnacentral:lncRNA from 1 species
AUAAUUUUAAAAUUAAUUAUAAACUAUAAAUAAAUACAAAAUAAAAUAAAAAUAUUUAACAAAUUGCUAAAGUGAAUGCAAAGUUCUAAUUAAAAUUAAAUUUUAUAUUUCAAAAUCAUAAAAACUAAUGAUAAAAUGUACAAACUUAAUUAAUUAACAUUGAUAUUGGUAAUUUUUAAAGAACUUUUUCAUAAAAGUAUCUAUUUGGAAUAAAGUGUAAUAUAUAAUUGAUCCAUGAGGAAAGCAAAUUGUAAUUUG